rnacentral:tRNA from 1 species
GGCCUAAUGGUCUAGUAGCAUGAUACCUCCUUCGGGUGGAGGUGGUCCUGGGUUCAAUUCCCAGUUAGGCCC